AUUGAACGCUGGCGGAAUGCUUUACACAUGCAAGUCGAACGGCAGCACGGGGGCAACCCUGGUGGCGAGUGGCGAACGGGUGAGUAAUAUAUCGGAACGUGCCCAGUCGUGGGGGAUAACGUAGCGAAAGUUACGCUAAUACCGCAUACGAUCUACGGAUGAAAGCGGGGGAUCGCAAGACCUCGCGCGAUUGGAGCGGCCGAUAUCAGAUUAGGUAGUUGGUGAGGUAAAGGCUCACCAAGCCAACGAUCUGUAGCUGGUCUGAGAGGACGACCAGCCACACUGGGACUGAGACACGGCCCAGACUCCUACGGGAGGCAGCAGUGGGGAAUUUUGGACAAUGGGCGCAAGCCUGAUCCAGCCAUUCCGCGUGCAGGACGAAGGCCUUCGGGUUGUAAACUGCUUUUGUACGGAACGAAAAAGCCUUGGCUAAUACCCAGGGUCCAUGACGGUACCGUAAGAAUAAGCACCGGCUAACUACGUGCCAGCAGCCGCGGUAAUACGUAGGGUGCAAGCGUUAAUCGGAAUUACUGGGCGUAAAGCGUGCGCAGGCGGUUAUAUAAGACAGAUGUGAAAUCCCCGGGCUCAACCUGGGAACUGCAUUUGUGACUGUAUAGCUAGAGUGCGGCAGAGGGGGAUGGAAUUCCGCGUGUAGCAGUGAAAUGCGUAGAUAUGCGGAGGAACACCGAUGGCGAAGGCAAUCCCCUGGGCCUGCAC
rnacentral:rRNA from 1 species